rnacentral:lncRNA from 1 species
AUGAACGGUAAGAACAAGAUCCGGGCCAUCAACACCUACGCCCUGCCCGUGAUCAGGUACCCUGCUGGGGUAAUAGGCUGGCCAAAGGAGGAGAUAGAAGCCACUGACAUAAAGACAAGAAAGCUCCUGACCAUGCAUGGAGGGUUUCACCCCAAGUCCAGCACCCUGAGGCUGUACGCUAAGCGGAAGGAAGGGGGCCGGGGACUGGUGAGUGUCAGCACCACAGUCCAGGAUGAGACAAGAAACAUCCACGAAUACAUCACGAAGAUGGCCCCAACUGACAGCGUGCUCAGUGAAUACCUCAGGCAGCAGAAACCCAAGAAAGAGGAGGAAGGCGAGGAACCAUCAUGGAAGGACAGGCCCCUGCACGGUAUGUACCACCGGGAGAUAGAGGAGGUGGCUGAUAUCCAGAAAUCCUACCAGUGGCUGGACAAAGCUGGACUGAAAGACAGCACAGAGGCACUAAUCAUGGCAGCACAAGAACAAGCUCUGAGUACAAGAUCCAUAGAGGCUGGGGUCUAUCACACCAGGCAAGACCCCAGGUGCAGGCUGUGUAAAGAUGCCCCAGAGACAAUCCAGCACAUAACAGCAGGGUGCAAGAUGCUAGCAGGCAAGGCAUACAUGGAACGCCAUAACCAAGUGGCCGGCAUAGUGUACAGGAACAUCUGUGCCGAGUAUAACCUGGAAGUCCCGAGGUCAAAAUGGGAGAUGCCCCCAAGGGUGAUGGAGAAUGACCGAGCUAAGAUCCUGUGGGACUUCCAGAUGCAGACGGACAAAAUGGUGGUGGCUAAGCAACCGGACAUAGUGGUGGUAGACAAACAGAAGAAGACGGCUGUAGUGAUCGAUGUAGCGGUUCCGAAUGACAGCAAUAUCAGGAAGAAGGAACACAAGAAGCUGGAGAAAUACCAAGGGCUCAGAGAAGAGCUCGAGAGGAUGUGGAGGGUGAAGGUAACGGUGGUCCCCGUGGUAAUCGGAGCACUAGGUGCGGUGACUCCCAAGCUAGGCGAGUGGCUCCAGCAGAUCCCGGGAACAACAUCGGAGAUCUCUGUCCAGAAGAGCGCAGUCCUGGGAACAGCUAAGAUACUGCGCAGGACCCUCAAGCUCCCAGGCCUCUGGUAG